rnacentral:rRNA from 1 species
GAUGAACGCUGGCGGCGUGCCUAAUACAUGCAAGUCGAACGCACAGCGAAAGGUGCUUGCACCUUUCAAGUGAGUGGCGAACGGGUGAGUAACACGUGGACAACCUGCCUCAAGGCUGGGGAUAACAUUUGGAAACAGAUGCUAAUACCGAAUAAAACUUAGUGUCGCAUGACACAAAGUUAAAAGGCGCUUCGGCGUCACCUAGAGAUGGAUCCGCGGUGCAUUAGUAGUGUGGGUAAAGCUACCAAGACAAUGAUGCAUAGCCGAGUUGAGAGACUGAUCGGCACAUUGGGACUGAGACACGG